AUUGAACGCUGGCGGCAUGCUUUACACAUGCAAGUCGAACGGCAGCGCGGGCUUCGGCCUGGCGGCGAGUGGCGAACGGGUGAGUAAUGCAUCGGAACGUGCCCAGUAGUGGGGGAUAGCCCGGCGAAAGCCGGAUUAAUACCGCAUACGACCUGAGGGUGAAAGCGGGGGACCGAAAGGCCUCGCGCUAUUGGAGCGGCCGAUGUCGGAUUAGCUAGUUGGUGGGGUAAAGGCUUACCAAGGCGACGAUCCAUAGCUGGUCUGAGAGGACGACCAGCCACACUGGGACUGAGACACGGCCCAGACUCCUACGGGAGGCAGCAGUGGGGAAUUUUGGACAAUGGGGGCAACCCUGAUCCAGCCAUGCCGCGUGCGGGAAGAAGGCCUUCGGGUUGUAAACCGCUUUUGUUCGGGAAGAAAUCCUCUGGGCUAAUACCCCGGGGGGAUGACGGUACCGGAAGAAUAAGCACCGGCUAACUACGU
rnacentral:rRNA from 1 species